rnacentral:rRNA from 1 species
AUUGGAGGGCAAGUCUGGUGCCAGCAGCCGCGGUAAUUCCAGCUCCAAUAGCGUAUAUUAAAGUUGUUGCGGUUAAAAAGCUCGUAGUUGGAGUUCAGUUUCGGACUGGGGUGGGAGGUCACCGCCCGGUGCUUCCCCUCUAGGCUCCGAACAGCUUUCUUUAUUGGAAGCCAAGCCGAUUCUUGAUGGGUGCUCUUUACCGAGUGUCCGUUUGGGGCGGCCAGUUCACCUUGAAUAAAUGAGAGUGCUCAAAGCAGGCUACUCUGGAAUACAAUGCCCGAAUGUUAACUGCAUGGAAUGAUGGAAGAUGAUCUCGGUUCCAUUUUGUUGGUUCAGGGAGCCAGAGGUAAUGAUAAAGAGGGACUGUCGGGGGCAUCCGUACUACGACGCGAGAGGUGAAAUUCAGUGACCGUCGUAGGACGAACAACAGCGAAAGCAUUUGCCAAGAAUGUCUUCGUUGAUCAAGAACGAAAGUUAGAGGAUCGAAGGCGAUCAGAUACCGCCCUAGUUCUAACCCUAAACGAUGCUGACUAGCAAUUCGCCGUCGUUAUUCCCAUGACGUGGCGAGACGCCCCCGGGAAACCUCAAGUUUUUGAGUUCCGGGGGUAGUAUGGUUGCAAAAGUGAAACUUAAAGGAAUUGACGGAAGGGCACCACCAGGAGUGGAGCCUGCGGCUUAAUUUGACUCAACACGGGAAAGCUGACCAGGCCCGGACACCAGAAGGAUUGACAGAUUAAGAGCUCUUUCUCGAUUU